CGUGGAAAAUUAGGACCUUGG
rnacentral:miRNA from 1 species